rfam:Salmo salar isolate Sally breed double haploid chromosome ssa06, whole genome shotgun sequence.
UGAAUGCAGUGACUGUAAGUCUCUCUGGAUAAGAGUGUCUGCUAAAUGACUGAAC